rnacentral:rRNA from 1 species
GAUGAACGCUGGCGGCGUGCCUAAUACAUGCAAGUCGAGCGAACAGAUCAGGAGCUUGCUCCUCUGACGUUGGCGGCGGACGGGUGAGUAACACAUGGAUAACCUACCUCUCAGACUGGGAUACCUUCGGGAAACCGGAGCUAAUACCGGAUAAUAUAUUGAACCUCGUUGUUCACUAGUGAAAUACGGUUUUUCUUUCACUUAUAGAUUGAUCCGCGCCGCAUUAGCUAGUUGGUAAGGUAACGGCUUACCAAGGCAACGAUGGGUAGCCGACCUGAGAGGGUGAUCGGCCACACGGGAACUGAGAAACGGUCCAGACUCCGACAGGAGGAAACAGUAGGGAAUCUUCCGCAAUGGGCGAAAGCCUGACGGAGCAACGCGGCGUGAGUGAUGAAGGUCUUCGGAUCGUAAAGCUCUGUUAUUAGGGAAGAACAAAUGUGUAAGUAACUAUGCACGUCUUGACGGUACCUAAUCAGAAAGCCACGGCUAACUACGUG